rnacentral:rRNA from 1 species
GACGAACGCUGGCGGCGUGCCUAAUACAUGCAAGUAGAACGCACAGUUUAUACCGUAGCUUGCUCCACCAUAGACUGUGAGUUGCGAACGGGUGAGUAACGCGUAGGUAACCUGCCUGGUAGCGGGGGAUAACUAUUGGAAACGAUAGCUAAUACCGCAUAAUAUUAAUUAUUGCAUGAUAAUUAAUUGAAAGGUGCAAUUGCACCACUACCAGAUGGACCUGCGUUGUAUUAGCUAGUAGGUGAGGUAACGGCUCACCUAGGCGACGAUACAUAGCCGAGCUGAGAGGGUGAUCGGCCAAACUGGGAAUGAGACACGGCCCAGACUCCUACGGGAGGCAGCAGUAGGGAAUCUUCGGAAAUGGACGAAAGUCUGACCGAGCAACGCCGCGUGAGUGAAGAAGGGUGUCGGAUCGUAAAGCUCUGUUGUAAGAGAAGAACGGGUGUGAGAGUGGAAAGUUCACACUGUGACGGUAUCUUACCAGAAAGGGACGGCUAACUACGUG